UGGUGCCGAUGGGCUUGCUGUUC
rnacentral:misc_RNA from 1 species